GGGCGUUUUUCAAUAAAAGCGUUCCUUUCAGACCUAAAAAAAAAAUGAAAAAUCAACUAGUCUAAAAUUUAUUUUCAAGAGUUAUUUUGAAUACCUCUAUUAUAUACCUGUUUGUAAACAAAAAGUGCAAUCUUAAAUACUCUUUAAAAUGAUAUUAUUUUCAUAAUUUGUGUACUGUUUCGUAGGGGACUUUUGUCCCCU
rnacentral:lncRNA from 1 species